UCAAGCGAACAAGGGCGCAGGGCGAAUGCCUUGGCACUGGGAGCCGAUGAAAGACGUGAUAAGCUGCGAUAAGCUUCGGGGAGCUGCAAAUAAGCAUUGAUCCGGAGAUUUCUGAAUGAGGAAACUCACCUGGGUUCAUACUCGGGUACGUUGUACUGAAAUUCAAAAUAGGUACAUCGGGGGAACCGCCUGAACUGAAACAUCUAAGUAGGGCGAGGAAGAGACAUCAAACGAGAUUCCGUAAGUAGUGGCGAGCGAACGCGGAAGAGGGCAAACCGGGAGUAGAAAUACUUCCGGGGUACGGACUGCUUUUAGGACUCGAUCUGUUAACCGAACGGCAUGGGAAGGCCGGUCAGAGAGUGUGAGAACCACGUAGGUGAAAACGGAGAGAGCUGCGCAGAUUCCAGAGUACGGCCAGACACGUGAAACCUGGUCGGAAGAUGGGGGGACCACCCUCCAACCCUAAAUACUACCCAGUGACCGAUAGCGUAUAGUACUGUGAAGGAAAGGUGAAAAGCACCCCGGGAGGGGAGUGAAAAAGAACCUGAAACCCUGUGCCUACAAGCACCUAGAGCACGUCAAAGUGUGAUAGGGUACUUUUUGUAGAACGGUCCGGCGAGCGAUUGUAUGCAGCAAGGUUAAGGACUUAAGGUCUGGAGCCGAAGCGAAAGCGAGUUUGAAAAGGGCGUUAAGUUGCAUAUAAUGGGCCCGAAACCGGGUGACCUACCCAUGGUCAGGUUGAAGUGGAAGUAAAAUUCCAUGGAGGACCGAACCGACCUCCGUUGAAAAGGCGGCGGAUGAACUGUGGGUAGCGGAGAAAUUCCAAUCGAACCCGGAGAUAGCUGGUUCUCCCCGAAAUAGUUUUAGGACUAGCCUCAAGUUAGAUACCUGGAGGUAAAGCACUGAAUAGCCUAGCGGCCGAGAGGUUAGCGAAGCUUAUCAAACUCAGAAUGCCAGAGUAUUGAUGCUUGGGAGUCAGACAGUGUCAGAUAAAUGUCAUUGUCAAAAGGGAAACAGCCCAGAUCUACAGCUAAGGUCCCAAAGUCAGGUUAAGUGGAAAACGAUGUGAAGAUACGCAGACAACCAGGAUGUUGGCUCAGAAGCAGCCACUCAUUCAAAGAGUGCGUAAUAGCUCACUGGUCGAGCGUCUUUGCGCGGAGAAUUUAACGGGGCUAAACCUGACACCGAAGCUUAGGCAAUCCAGCAAUGGAUUGGGUAGGGGAGCGUUGUAUACGCGGAGAAACAGUAGCGUAAGCGGCUGUGGAGUGUAUAGAAGUGAGAAUGCCGGAAUGAGUAGCGCGAAUGCAGUGAGAAUCUGCAUGGCCGAAAGCCUCAGGUUUUUGGAGGAAGGUUCGUCCGCUCCAAGUUAGUCGGGAGCUAAGGUGAGGCCGGAAGGCGUAGCCGAUGCACAGACGGUAGAGAUUCCGUCACCACCAAAAGAGUUAAGCACAGGGACACAUUUGAAGUCUCAGAGCCGGGUGUUGGUUCCGGUAGAGAUCGAGGGAAAUUAGUACCGAAGUCUGGGAUGGAAGAUGGCGAGAAAAGCUGUGUGUAUUUCUGAGGUGCCCGUACCGCAAACCGACACAGGUAGGUAGGAAGAAGAUUCUAAGGCCAACGGGAGAAGGGUUGUUAAGGAACUCGGCAAAUUGACCCCGUAACUUCGGGAGAAGGGGUGCUCCAGAGAUGGAGCCGCAGAGAAUCGGCCCAAGCAACUGUUUACCAAAAACACAGGUUUGUGCUAAAUCGAAAGAUGACGUAUACGAGCUGACGCCUGCCCGGUGCUGGAAGGUUAAGAGGAGAUGUGCAAGCAUUGAAUCGAAGCCCCAGUGAACGGCGGCCGUAACUAUAACGGUCCUAAGGUAGCGAAAUUCCUUGUCAGGUAAG
rnacentral:rRNA from 1 species